CAGGGUAUUAUGAUCAAAAAUAUUUAUUAACUACACUUCUAGAACACCGAAGCACUGGCAAAUGACAUCCUUGGCCACAUUUCCGGUCUUCUGAAAGAUACUAUCCUGGUGCCAUGGACUGAGAUCAUUUGCCUUGGGAGAAGACAGCUGCCGUGUCGUGUGAGCAGCCCUAGAGAGAGGCCCAUCUGGCAAGGACCUGAAGCCUCCUGUCAACAGCCAUGUGAGUGAUCUUGGAAGCGGAUUCGCCAUCCCCAUCAGGUGGCUGCCUCCCCAGCUGACAACCUGCCUGCAGCAGGUAAGCUGCUCCCAGAUUCCAGACCCUCAGACACUGUAUGAGAUAAUAAA
rnacentral:lncRNA from 1 species